rnacentral:snoRNA from 1 species
ACCCUCUCAGGGUUGCGCCUGGAGAGUUUCCAGUACUUUACCAGUCUCUACUAUGGGAGGGAGAGUCAAGCAGAGGCCUCCCCACUCCAUUCUUAGCUUGGGCAGUGGCUAGCAAGUGGAAGGCCAUCUGCUACAAGU